GCCCUUGUGGAUCAUGGUUGGAUCAUCCUAUUUCACUAUGAAAUUAGUGCAAUAGUAAGAGAGGAAGAUGUGGGUUCAAUUCCUACCAAGGGCA